GGACUUCCUUGGUGGUAAAGUGGUAAAGAAUCUGCCUUCCAAUACAGGGGAUGCGGGUUCGAUCCCUGGUCGGGGAACUAAGAUCCCACAUGCUGCGGGGCAACUAAGGCUGCACGCCACAACUAUCGAGCUUGCGUGCCUCAACUAGAGAGCCCGUGCGCUGCAAACUACAGAGGCCCUGCACUCUGGAGCCUGAGCGCCACAAGUAGAGAAAACCCGCACACCACAACUAGAGAGAAGCCCAAGCACCACAACGAAGAGACCGCGGGCACCGUAACAAAAAGAUCCCACAUGCCUCAACAAAGAUCCCGUGUGCUGCAACUGAGACCUGACGCAGCCAAAAAAAAAAAAAGGAAAAUUAAAUAAAUAAAUAUGAAAUUUAAAAAAAGAAGAACAAGUGGUGGAAGGACCACUGCCAGCACAGCUGGAACAGCACUUGGAGUUCCCCUACUCUGUCCCUUCUGUCCCUUCACUCUAGGCACUCCUCUUGGGGUCCACUGAGAAGGGGGAAGCAGGAAGAAGACUCUGGCUGACAAACCAUGCCUGGCUCCAGACUUCUCAGAGUGAAGAGCUCUAGACUAGCACCUACCUUUGGCCAAAUUAUGAAGGUAGUCGGGCUGCCUACAGGAGCCCAGGCCUCUCUGCUGUCUGGGUUCUCCCUCUGUGGGCGUGUCCCCUUUCCUGUCUCCCUUAAACCCAUUCCCUUGAAUGAUUCUGAUUGUGGGUUAUCCCGCUGAGGACAAGGUUCUCUCCAGAUGGGCUUCCUCUCCCCUGGGGCCUUUAUACUUUAUGCUGGACCUUCUUGCCUGGGGCGAAAGUCUCUGCGUCCUGAGAAAGGAACACUCAGCAGCAGCUGGUGAUGCUGGUCAUCUGGUGAUGGCAGACUCUCCCUAGAGAGGACCUGUGAGUCCCCUGGGGAGAGCCAGGCUGGCUUUGGAGACAAGUUGUAGGAUCCACUGUGGAUAACUUUCAUUUGUUUUUUUGUUUGUUUGUUUGAAGUGUAGUUGAUUUACAAUAUUGUGUUAGUUUCAGGUGUACAGCACAGUGAUUCAGUAUUUCUGCAGAUUAUAUUCCAUUACAGGUUAUUACAAGAGAAUGGGUGUAAUUCCCUGUGCUCUACAGUAAAUCCUUUUUGCUUAGCUAUUUCAUAUAUAGUAGUUUGUUAAUCCCGUACCCCUAAUUUGUCCCUCCCCCCCUUCCCUCUCCCUGUUGGUAAGCACAAGUUUGUUUUCUAUGUGAAUCUGUUUCUGUUUUGUAUAUAGAUUCAUUUGUAUUCUUUCUUAGAUUGCACGUAUGAGUGAUAUCAUUUAGUAUUUGUCUUUCUCUGUCUGACUUCACUAAGCACAAUAUUGUUGUGGAUAUCUGUGAACUGCUUCUGCCCAGCAUUCAACGCCCACCUUUCUGGUGAUAGCACAAUUUUGCCUUAGUAAUUGACCUGUCUUUCAUUUGAUACAGUUUUGGUGGGACUGGCCAUCAAGGGACCUCAUCGUCCCUGGCCAGGGGAUGGGCCGUGCCGCCCAAGUUAGGCCAAUCAGAUACUCUCUCCUAGGAAAAGAGAGCAGAUGAUACAAAGACAGAAAAUAUUUGGGGCCAGUUCAUGCUAGUUCUGGUGACUACCCACUGGUGUCUGCUUCCCAGAUUCCUGGAACUGCCCUCCUGCCUAUCCUCCUGGCUUCAGCUUUUCCUUGAGUUCUCUGUUGCCUCACAUCUUCCAAUAAAAUUCUUCCUGGGUAAGUUACCCAGAGUCAAUUUCUGUUGCUUACCACCUAAGACCCCAGGUAAUAUGGCACCCAUGCCACCUAGGUCUUUCAAGCCCCAUUUCCUCCGCUGACAAUGGUUCAGGCUUCUCAGUUUGUGUGCAUAUGUGUGGUCCUGCUGCGUUUUAUUUAUGCUGUGGAUGGGGUAUAGGCAGUGGCUGA